UACGUAGGGUGCGAGCGUUAAUCGGAAUUACUGGGCGUAAAGCGUGCGCAGGCGGUUCGUUAAGUUCGAUGUGAAAGCCCCGGGCUCAACCUGGGAAUUGCAUUGGAAACUGGCGGGCUUGAGUGUGGCAGAGGGGGGUGGAAUUCCACGUGUAGCAGUGAAAUGCGUAGAGAUGUGGAGGAACGCCGAUGGCGAAGGCAGCCCCCUGGGCUAACACUGACGCUCAGGCACGAAAGCGUGGGGAGCAAACAGG
rnacentral:rRNA from 1 species